GACGAACGCUGGCGGCGUGCCUAAUACAUGCAAGUAGAACGCUGAAGAGAGGAGCUUGCUCUUCUUGCAUGAGUUGCGAACGGGUGAGUAACGCGUAGGUAACCUGCCUUGUAGCGGGGGAUAACUAUUGGAAACGAUAGCUAAUACCGCAUAACAAUGGAUGACACAUGUCAUUUAUUUGAAAGGGGCAAUUGCUCCACUACAAGAUGGACCUGCGUUGUAUUAGCUAGUAGGUGAGGUAAUGGCUCACCUAGGCGACGAUACAUAGCCGACCUGAGAGGGUGAUCGGCCACACUGGGACUGAGACACGGCCCAGACUCCUACGGGAGGCAGCAGUAGGGAAUCUUCGGCAAUGGGGGCAACCCUGACCGAGCAACGCCGCGUGAGUGAAGAAGGUUUUCGGAUCGUAAAGCUCUGUUGUAAGUCAAGAACGGGUGUGAGAGUGGAAAGUUCACACUGUGACGGUAGCUUACCAGAAAGGGACGGCUAACUACGUG
rnacentral:rRNA from 1 species